rnacentral:rRNA from 1 species
AUUGAACGCUGGCGGCAGGCUUAACACAUGCAAGUCGAGCGAGCGGCGGACGGGUGAGUAAUGUCUGGGAAACUGCCUGAUGGAGGGGGAUAACUACUGGAAACGGUAGCUAAUACCGCAUACCAUCAGAUGUGCCCAGAUGGGAUUAGCUAGUAGGUGGGGUAAGGGCUCACCUAGGCGACGAUCCCUAGCUGGUCUGAGAGGAUGACCAGCAACACUGGAACUGGGACACGGGCCAGAGUCCUACGGGAGGCAGCAGUGGGGAAUAUUGCACAAUGGGCGCAAGCCUGAGGCAGCCAGGCCGCGUGUGUGAAGAAGGCCUGCGGGUUGUAAAGCACUUUCAGCGAGGAGGCGUUACGCGCAGAAGAAGCACCGGCUAACUCCGUGCCAGCCGCCGCGGUAAUUC